GGGAUUACUAGAACACCAUUGCAGCGGACUGUAACUCCGCCGGGGAGACCCAUGCCUGGUUCGAUUCCAGGGUCGCCCACCA
rnacentral:tRNA from 1 species